CAACAGUCCAAUUGCUCUCCAGCACAACAACCUGCAGCGACCGACACAGACGACUUAGUGCUACUCUAAAAAAAUCAGUGCAGCCCGGAGAAAGACUUAAUUGCGGCGUUUGAAAAGUUGAGAAGAAGGAGGUGGGCUCCCGCCUUGCACUGGGCCGUACCGAGAAAAAAGUCGUUUUCGGUAUUAAAGACCCGGCUGUUUUAGCAGGA